UACAACGGGAUACCCGAGGGAAACUUCGGUUAAUACGGUAUAAGACCACACUACCGCAUGGUAGAGGGGUAAAAGGGGCAACCUGGUAUGAGAUGGACUCGCGUCGCAUUAGCUAGUUGGUGAGGUAACGGCCCACCAAGGCGACGAUGCGUAGCCGACCUGAGAGGGUGAUCGGCCACAUUGGGACUGAGAUACGGCCCAGACUCCUACGGGAGGCAGCAGUGGGGAAUAUUGGGCAAUGGAGGAAACUCUGACCCAGCAAUGCCGCGUGAAUGAAGAAGGUCUUCGGAUUGUAAAGUUCUUUAGUCAGGGAAGAAGUCAAUGACGGUACCUGAAGAAUAAGCUCCGGCUAACUACGUGCCAGCAGCCGCGGUAAUACGUAGGGAGCAAGCGUUGUUCGGAAUGACUGGGCGUAAAGGGUGCGUAGGCGGUUGUACAAGUUAGAAGUGAAAUACCCAGGGCUUAACUCGGGUGCUGCUUCUAAAACUGUAUGACUUGAGUGCAGUAGAGGUUAGUGGAAUUCCUAGUGUAGCGGUGGAAUGCGUAGAUAUUAGGAGGAACACCAGAGGCGAAGGCGGCUAACUGGACUGCAACUGACGCUGAGGCACGAAAGUGUGGGGAGCAAACAGGACUAGAUACCCUGGUAGUCCACACUGUAAACGAUGGAUACUAGAUGUAGGAGGUAUCGACUCCUUCUGCGUCGCAG
rnacentral:rRNA from 1 species